GACGAACCGUGCGAACGUUGUUCGGAUUCACUGGGCUUAAAGGGCGCGUAGGCGGCUUGCCAAGUCAGGGGUGAAAUCGUUCGGCUCAACCGGACAAGUGCUUCUGAUACUGGCAGGCUGGAGGGAGGUAGGGGCAGACGGAACUUCCGGUGGAGCGGUGAAAUGCGUAGAUAUCGGAAGGAACGCCGGUGGCGAAAGCGGUCUGCUGGAUCUCUUCUGACGCUGAUGCGCGAAAGCCAGGGGAGCAAACGGG
rnacentral:rRNA from 1 species